GAUGAACGCUGGCGGCGUGCCUAAUACAUGCAAGUCGAGCGAACAGAUAAGGAGCUUGCUCCUUUGACGUUAGCGGCGGACGGGUGAGUAACACGUGGGUAACCUACCUAUAAGACUGGGAUAACUUCGGGAAACCGGAGCUAAUACCGGAUAACAUUUGGAACCGCAUGGUUCUAAAGUGAAAGAUGGUUUUGCUAUCACUUAUAGAUGGACCCGCGCCGUAUUAGCUAGUUGGUAAGGUAACGGCCUACCAAGGCGACGAUACGUAGCCGACCUGAGAGGGUGAUCGGCCACACUGGAACUGAGACACGGUCCAGACUCCUACGGGAGGCAGCAGUAGGGAAUCUUCCGCAAUGGGCGAAGGCCUGACGGAGCAACGCCGCGUGAGUGAUGAAGGGUUUCGGCUCGUAAAACUCUGUUAUUAGGGAAGAACAAACGUGUAAGUAACUGUGCACGUCUUGACGGUGCCUAAUCAGAAAGCCACGGCUAACUACGUG
rnacentral:rRNA from 1 species